GUUCCGUUUGUAUUAUACGUUUAGUAAGGUCGAUGUAUUAGCGAGCUGGCAACACAGCAUUGAAGAGGGGAAGCUACCGAAUAGAAUGAGCGGUGUUCGGCGUCAGUAGCUCGUGAAACACGGUCAGGUUAUCAAAAUGGAGUCCUCCACUUCACGUCCCGCCACCUCCAUUCCGAUUCCUUCUCGAGUUGUUUUGCGCGGCAUCAUUCAGUUUCUUUUUGCUCAAGAUUUUAAAUCCCUUUGGUGUGUCCCUUCUUCACGACAAUGCUCGGCCGCACGUCGCUGCUUCAACAACUGCACUUUUGAAUCAGUUUAGUUGGGAUGUUUUGACCCACCCACCGUAUAGCCCGGAUCUAGCACCAUCGGACUACCAUCUUUUUACGAAACUGAAGGAGUCCUUGGCCGGAAAACGCUUCCAAAGCGACGAGGAAGUUCAGACAGCUGUAACUAACUGGACUAAAGAACUGGCGGGAAGUUUCUAUGCAGAAGGGAUUUCGAAGCUUGUUUCCAGAUAUACAAAAUGUAUUGAGAUUGACGGGAAUUAUG